rnacentral:rRNA from 1 species
CCCUUAGAUGUUCUGGGCCGCACGCGUGCUACACUGAGUGGAUCAGCGGGUCAGGUUGCGCGAAAGCGUUUCCUAAUCUUGAAAUCCGCUCGUGAUGGGGAUUGACGGUUGCAAUUUUCUGUCAUGAACGAGGAAUACCUUGUAAGCGCGAGUCAUCAUCCCGCGCUGAAUACGUCCCUGCCCUUUGUACACACCGCCCGUCGCUCCUACCGAUUGAGUGGUCCGGUGAGGCUUUGGGAUCUGAGCGGAAAGAGCGUUUCGCUCGUUCUGCCCGGAAAACUCGGUCGAACCUUAUCAUUUAGAGGAAGGAGAAGUCGUAACA